CUCGGAUUCAAUUUUGCUUCUCUCCCUGUACUCCUUCACCACACCUUCAGCUUCUCUGUGAUGAACGCCUCCAUCAUUGAUCCGUUACAGGGUGAUUUCCCAGAAGUCAUAGAGGAGUAUUUGGAACAUGGCUGUAUGAAAUGUAUUGCCUUCAAUCGCCGUGGUACCCUUCUUGCUGCUGGGUGCAAUGAUGGAAGUUGUGUUAUUUGGGAUUUUGAAACAAGAGGCAUCGCUAAGAUUCUUCAUGAUGAUGAAUGUUCUUCCCCCAUAACCAGCAUCUGUUGGUCAAAGUAUGGUCAUCGAAUUCUGGUAUCUGCUGCUGACAAAUCAUUGAUUUUGUGGGAUGUUAUGAGUGGUAAGAAGAUAACACGAAUAGUUUUGCAACAAACCCCUCUACAAGCGCGUCUUCAUCCAGGAUCUUCAACACCAUAUCUUUGCUUAGCAUGUCCUCUUUCAUGUGCUCCUAUGAUUGUUGAUCUGAAUACAGGAAACACAACUUUGCUUAAAGUUUCUGUGUCAGAAACAAGCAAUGGUCCAAUCCCUCCCUCACGCAAUAAGUCUUCUGAUGGAAUAACCUCCUUUACACCAACCGCUGCUUGUUUUAACAAGUACGGGACUCUGGUUUAUCUGGGAAACUCAAAAGGUGAAAUUCUUGUUAUUGAUUACAAAAAUGGUGAAGUGCGUGCUAUAGUUCCAAUCACUGGUGGUUCUGUUGUAAAGAACAUUGUGUUCAGCAGGAACGGGCAGUAUCUACUCACGAACUCCAAUGAUCGAGUAAUAAGGAUCUAUGAAAACCUUCUGCCCCUGAAAGACGAGGUCAGAACCCUUGACGAACUGAAUGAGAACUGUGGUGAUCUAAAUAACAGUGAAAAGUUGAAGGCCAUUGGGUCAAAAUGUUUAAUUUUAUUCCGGGAAUUUCAAGAUACAAUCACAAAGGUACACUGGAAAGCCCCUUGUUUCAGUGGUGAUGGUGAGUGGGUAGUUGGUGGUUCUGCUUGCAAAGGUGAGCACAAGAUUUACAUAUGGGAUAGAGCUGGGCAUCUUGUGAAAAUCCUUGAAGGACCAAAGGAAGCUCUUAUAGAUCUAGCAUGGCAUCCUGUACAUCCUUUUGUUGUAUCUGUUUCCUUGAAUGGCUUUGUUUAUAUAUGGGCAAAAGAUUAUACCGAGAAUUGGAGUGCAUUUGCUCCUGACUUCAAGGAGCUUGAGGAAAAUGAGGAGUAUGUAGAGCGUGAAGAUGAAUUUGAUCUGAUUCCUGACACUGAGAAGGUGAAAGGUCCUGAUGUAAAUGAAGAUGAGGAAGUUGACAUCGUAUCAGUGGAGAAAGAUGCCACUUUCAGUGAUUCUGAUAUGUCUCAAGAAGAGCUAUGUUUCUUGCCAGCAACCCCUACUCGUGAUCCUCUGGAACAGCAAGACAAGUGUGCAGAAAGUUCUUCAAAGUUGUUGGACAGCAAUAACACUGGAUCCCCUUCAGAAGAAGCUGGACCGAAUGGACUUAUGAUGAAUCACGCAUCCAGUCUUCUUGAAGAGGAUGCUGGACGCGUUAAAAGAAAGAGGAAACCUUCAGAAAAGGUGUUGGAAUUGCAAGCAGAAAAAGUUAAGAAAUCUUCAAAAUCAAGCAAAUUGGCAAAACCCAAGAGCAAAUCUUUGGUUGAUCAAGAUAAUGGUAACAGUUUUCAUGGUGAUGGGAUUUCUGAUGAAUGAUUGCAACCAUGAUGUAUCAGGAAAUGGAUGGGUAACGAGAAUAUGCAAAAUGCUUUGAAGGGUGUCUAUGAAAGGAAUAUGGAGUUCUAGAAGUUUUCUUUUCAAAUAUUAAAGUUGACAUCCAAUCCAUAUGGGUGUCCAUACAAAGAAAUGAAUCCAUUUGAAACAAGAGUAUGGAGGAUUUGGUUUUGUUAUAAAUUAACCAAGAAGCAGCCUAGGAGAACUUGUGUAGAUAAUGAAUCUCACAUUAAUACUGGACUAUUUUGAUAUUCCAAAUAAAGAAUACCUUAAAAGAAGAUGGAGAGUGCCAAGUAUAAUGAAGGGAACAAAUAUCGUGUGGAAGAUUAUUUUUAUUUGAUAUUGAAUUGAUUAUUAUAGUAAUGAUCUGGAGUUGGAUAGUUUGCUUUUGCUUUUUAGUAUUUGUUACUAGCGAUAGCACUUGUAAUUUUAACUUAAUUUAUUAGUAUGAGCCUUUCAAUUUGUA